ACGGCUCAGUAACACGUCGAUAAUGUACCCUGAUGCCUGGGAUAACCUCGGGAAACUGAGGAUAAUACCGGAUAGGAGUAGGAUACUGGAAUGUUCCUACACCGAAAGAUACGUCACAUCAGGAUCGGUCGGCGGCGGAUUAGGUCGUUGGCGGUGUAAAGGACCACCAAGCCGAAGAUCCGUAAGGGCCAUGAAAGUGGUUGCCCUGAGAGGGAAACUGAGACACAGUUCCCAGCCCUACGGGGUGCAGCAGUUAGGAAAACUUCGCAAUGCACGCAAGUGUGACGAGGGGAUUCUCAGUGCGUACGUUUAACGUACGCUUUUGCCAAGAGCAAGAAUCUUGGCGAAUAAGUGGUGGGCAAGACUGGUGCCAGCCGCCGCGGUAACCCCAGCGCCACUAGUGGGAAUCGCUUUUAUUGGGUCUAAAGCAUCCGUAGCCGGUCUGUUAAAUGCUCUGUGAAAUCGUGGAGCUCAACUUCACGGUGUGCAGAGCACACUGACAGACUUGGGACCGGGAAAGGUAUUCGGUAUUCCGGGGGGAGCGGUAAAAUGUGAUAAUCCUCGGAGGACCACCAAUGGCGAAGGCAGAAUACUAGAAUGGAUCCGACGGUGAGGGAUGAAGGCUAGGGGAGCGAUCCGGAUUAGAUACCCGAGUAGUCCUAGCCGUAAACGCUGUCAGCCAGAUGUUGCACAAUCUUC
rnacentral:rRNA from 1 species